rnacentral:rRNA from 1 species
AGGGCUUGACAUAUACAGGAAUAUAUAAGAGAUUAUAUAGCUCUACGGAGUCUGUAUACAGGUGGUGCAUGGUUGUCGUCAGCUCGUGUCGUGAGAUGUUGGGUUAAGUCCCGUAACGAGCGCAACCCCUAUGGCUAGUUGCUAACAUUAAGUUGAGGACUCUAGCAAGACUGCCGUUGUUAAAACGGAGGAAGGUGGGGACGACGUCAAAUCAUCAUGCCCUUUAUGUCCUGGGCUACACACGUACUACAAUGGGUAAGACAGAGGGAAGCGAAAGUGCGAACUGGAGCAAAACCCUAAACUUAUUCUCAGUUCGGAUUGGAGUCUGAAAUUCGGCUCCAUGAAGCUGGAAUUGCUAGUAAUGGCAGGUCAGCAUACUGCCGUGAAUACGUUCCCGGGCC